UCCGGCCGGCGCCGCCUGCGGAGGGUCUCGGCGAUCGGCGGGGACGCGGGUGGCCGGCGAUGGCCGCGGAGGGGCUUGUCGGAUCCCGCUUCCAAGAAGGUCCUAAGCGGCCGAGGGAGGUGGGCUAAGGAGCGGUGUCCCUUGUCGAGUACCGGCCAUGUGACACAAGCCUGUCCGCCCCGCUGCCGCCGCCCUGCCAGCACAUCUCAAGUCCAGCUGGCCACAUUCCAAGGGCUCAAGAGCCACACUUUGCCAGUUUAGACCCAGAAGCAGAAAAGAAACCAAUCAAGUGGAUGCCACAUCAAAUGGUGAAAAGUGUCUUUUAUAGGUGAAUGAAAUUCAGACAGAGAGAGAAAGCCAUGGAAGCAAGAAGCUGGAAGCAGUGAAACCCAAAAAAGAAGGGAGAGACCAGCAGAUGCCACCAUGUGCCUUGCCAUAUAACAGAGGAGUUCAGGAUUGUCACAGCUGGUCUUCAGGAAGAAGGUAUCAUCUUGAUGAUGCCUUGAUUCAGACAUUUUCACAGCCUCAGAACUGUGAGCUUGUGAGCGGUUUGCUGGUCAGUGUCCAAACAGCACGGAGGCAUCGAAGCGGAACACUCCCUCUGAGAACAGAAGCUGGCUUAGAGGAUUGUGGGAAGACAGCAGAGUGGGAAGUUCCAGUAAUCAGUCCCUCCAACAAAACAACUCUCAAACUGGCAGGAGCUGUCUGAAUCAACCACUUUGAAACUCCAGAGCUUAGAGGAAAACUGGGCAGCAUCCAGGAAGGAGCAGGAGGAAGAGGCUGGUAAAUUGAGAUAAAUACCAGUGGCUUUCACCUUCCCUGCUGCGGCUAUCAUCCCCUUUUCCCCAGCCUCAUGGCAAACAGCAGUGGGGACUAGAGCUUGGGCUCCUGCUACAGCUUUCUGGAGCCAGGAUAGGACAUAAAGAACUAGUCCAAAAUUCUGGGUGUGUGCAGUCUGUUCCCAAAUCUCUCCCUUUGAUCAGCUACUUCAUUUCACCAGGGGCUGGCUCUGAGGGCAGCCACUAUUCCAACCCCCGGGGCAGAGGUGGCCAAGAAAUCUUAAAGAUAGUAAGUUCCUCAAAACUGUGAGAAAGCAGAGGGCUGCAUUAAUCCAUUAACCAGAUAGUGCUGAAUUAAGAAAACAGUUCAAAAGCCGUAGAAGAAGCUCCUGGUGUCCUUGCUGGCCCCUCCUCUACCCCCCACCCCCCACAACACAGGGUGGAACCAACUUGUGUUCCCAUUGUGGGUCCCUGGCCCUCUUCCAGAGGGAGCAGAGUGGCCCCUGUGUGCAUACUGGGGUGCAUGUGUAUCAGUGCCAAUCUGUCAAGUGGAUGUCUAAGAGACUGAGCAGGGUAACCUGUCUCAGUCUUGCCCUCCCAGAGUUUGUCCUGAGGACAGAGAAGCCUAUUGCAGACAGCUGGGACAGUGUAAAAAACAAGUUGAAGCAGCCUGGGGGAAAGGACUACCUCUGUUAAGUCUCAUUAGAGAGCACACAGGAGAGGGAGGAGCUCUGUUACAAAGAGUGUACAGGAGGCGUCCACUCAAACGCCUGUAAACUGUAAAUGGGGAAUUCCCAAAGCCUCUAGCAAGCACAAGCCCAGGAAAAGAAGCAGGCUUCCUGGCUCUGGCUCCGUGCAGGCACAUAAAAGACAGGAUCCUGCACUUCCCAUUUCCCUUGGGCUGAUUUUCUUGAUAGGAGGACUCAGCUUUGGAGGAUACCACCAGCAAAAGCAGAGCCAAUUUGCAAAGACAGUGAAAGGUGCUUUUUCUAUUGGUUUGUUUGUUUUAAUUAGCUCCUGGCAUUCAAGAAAAUCUCUGUCAUAUCACUAACUGGAUACAAAUUUAA